UGACAUAAUUGAUACGAAUGAGACC
rnacentral:piRNA from 1 species